rnacentral:rRNA from 1 species
UGGGGAAUAUUGGACAAUGGGCGAAAGCCUGAUCCAGCAAUGCCGCGUGUGUGAAGAAGGUCUUCGGAUUGUAAAGCACUUUCGACGGGGACGAUGAUGACGGUACCCGUAGAAGAAGCCCCGGCUAACUUCGUGCCAGCAGCCGCGGUAAUACGAAGGGGGCUAGCGUUGCUCGGAAUGACUGGGCGUAAAGGGCGCGUAGGCGGAUGGCACAGUCAGAUGUGAAAUUCCCGGGCUUAACCUGGGGGCUGCAUUUGAUACGUGUGAUCUAGAGUGAGGAAGAGGGUCGUGGAAUUCCCAGUGUAGAGGUGAAAUUCGUAGAUAUUGGGAAGAACACCGGUGGCGAAGGCGGCGACCUGGUCCUUGACUGACGCUGAGGCGCGAAAGCGUGGGGAGCAAACAGGAUUAGAUACCCCCGUAGUCC